rnacentral:rRNA from 1 species
UGAGUGAAGAAGGCCUUCGGGUUGUAAAGCUCUUUUGUCAGGGAAGAAACGGCUCAGGCUAAUAUCCUGGGCUAAUGACGGUACCUGAAGAACAAGCACCGGCUAACUACGUGCCAGCAGCCGCGGUAAUACGUAGGGUGCAAGCGUUAAUCGGAAUUACUGGGCGUAAAGCGUGCGCAGGCGGUUAUGUAAGACAGAUGCGAAAUCCCCGGGCUCAACCUGGGAACUGCAUUUGUGACUGCAUGGCUAGAGUACGGUAGAGGGGGAUGGAAUUCCGCGUGUAGCAGUGAAAUGCGUAGAUAUGCGGAGGAACACCGAUGGCGAAGGCAAUCCCCUGGACCUGUACUGACGCUCAUGCACGAAAGCGUGGGGAGCAAACAGGAUUAGAUACCCUGGUAGUCCACGCCCUAAACGA